rnacentral:misc_RNA from 1 species
UUAAGAGAUUUUAAAUCUCUUCAUUGUGUUCUGUCACAAUGAAAGUAUCAGAACAAGACAGGUUAAUAAAGGUCUUGAUACUUAGUUGCUCCUUUGAGUUCAACUUUAAAAAAACGAUUUCUCAUGACCACUGUUAAGUCUAAU